GGUAGUGGAGUCUGCCGAUCGAAGGGUUUCUGCCUGGUGGUGCUGAAUGGGUGGGUGCAUAUGCGUCUAGCAUUUCGCAUCCAUGGACGACAAUACGGGUAAGUAAAAUAUACAGCGUGGUCUGUUUUUAGGAUGGUUUGGUGUCAUUGCAUGCCUAGCAUCAUCUCCUUUCUCAACGCAGAGAUCCAGCUUAUUCCUGGCCUGUUACUUAAGAAUGGGGCAUCGCUUGGCUAUCUUCUGCAGCACCGCCGCUGGAGCGACUUCUGCCAGGCAGCCCUAUGAAUAGCUCAGUUUCGACAUCCAUGUUGUCGUUGGUGGUGUUGAUGUUACGGUCCGGGUUCUCAUCUUCGGCCCGGACAGUCAAAGGAGCAGACAAGGGAGGCUGAUUCUUACACUGCACAAAGUUCAUGAUCAAGGGAAGCAAAUCAGGUGAGUUGAUCUUUCAGUGUCGCAGAAAAUUCUCGGCAUUUAUAUUGGUGUGCACAUAAGAUAUCGCACGAAUUAGCUCAAAUAAUCAUAUGCUAGGCUGGGCGAUCGACUUAAGCUGGCUGCUGGUGUCUUCUCGGCAGUAAAAGUUUCACUCGUCUUACCUUUUCGCGUAACUCUUCAUUGUCCUUGCGCAGCUUCAUCUCCUGGUCGAUGUUAAUGCAAAAAAGAGACAAACACGACAUUAGGAACAGAUGAUUGGUCCUGCGUUUCAGGUUAUAUAUAUAUUUAUUUAUUUAUAGUAAGUACGAAGUUGGUGAGGUACCUUCUCUCUCAGUUUGGCAACCUGCUCCUCAAGCAGCUUUGUCUAGUAUGCAGAGAAUUGGUUGUAAGUUUGUGCACAUCAUAUAUAUAGAUAAAUUAAUUGCUGAUAACGUAGACUGAAAUGGAAAAUUUAUUAGCC
rnacentral:lncRNA from 1 species